CACGUAGGGCGCAAGCGUUGUCCGGAAUUAUUGGGCGUAAAGAGCUCGUAGGUGGUUUGUUACGUCCGCUGUGAAAACCUAGGGCUUAACCCUGGGCUUGCAGUGGAUACGGGCAGGCUUGAGUUCGGUAGGGGAGACUGGAAUUCCUGGUGUAGCGGUGAAAUGCGCAGAUAUCAGGAGGAACACCGGUGGCGAAGGCGGGUCUCUGGGCCGAUACUGACGCUGAGGAGCGAAAGCGUGGGGAGCGAACAGG
rnacentral:rRNA from 1 species